CUCCGUGUCGGGAAGGGGCGAACUUGAGCCCGAGAUCCUUCGGUCGCGCAGAGGGGUCUGUCGUCUGGCGGCGUUAUCUCGGGCGACUUUGAGGAGGACCAUACCCAGCCGACCUCCCCGCGGCCGCCACUGUCCCGCGAUCAGGGGGCCUCGCGCGGGGCUGGGUGGGAGGAGGCGUGCGGCCCGCUGUGCAUUCGGGGAGGAAGACUUGGCAAGAGGGCGACCCGAACGGCGAGGCAGAAUUCGCCCUGGAAGGGGUGGGUGGUCAAUUUGAAAGUGUUUUUUCUCCGAUUUGACUCGGGAACCUUUGAGGACGGCUGAGUUCAAUGACAAAAAAAACGGAGCUCAUCCUCCCUCUGAACGGCCCUGUCCACGAAGACCCUUCAAUUACGACUCUGUUCCGCGUCCCAGCGCCCCUCUCCUCGGUCCCCACUCCAAGUCACUGAGCCAAAUAAUCCGCGAUUACUGAAUAGCAAUCUUUUCUGUUACUUAAAGCCGACCACAACUUUAACAGCCCUAGGCAAUGCGCUCCCUUCGUAUUAUGCGCCGACCUUUUGCCGCAGGGCGCACGGUGGCGCUAGGGACGCGCAGAACUGAGGUCGGCCCAGCGGAGACCCGAGUGUCAACUGCAGUCAUGUGACAAGAGCUGCCCUAAAGCUCCGGACGGGAUCUACUGCAGCCCCAGGCGGUCGCAAAGGCAAAGCCCUUCAAUGAAGUAUAUUUAGAGGGCGAAGAGAGGCCCCAUCUCUUUGCAUCCCAAAUGAAGUCUGAAGAUGAAGCAUCACUUGGAGCCCUCAUACAUGCCUCUAAUUGGAGAUGCACUUUUAUCAUGAAAUAGACUCAUAUUGGUGUGGAUCUGUGUCCAGACCUAUUCUGCUCCAGGAAUCUACCUGUCUCUUCCCAUAAUGAUAUCACAGUGUGAUUAUUAUAGUUUUGGAGUAUAUUUUAAUGCCUGAUAGCACAAGCCUCUGCUAUUGUUAUGUUUUAAAAAAUCCUUGCCAAUUCCCAAUCAUGUAAUUUUUUUCAAGUAAGUUAUGGAAUGAUUUUUGUCAAACCUCCCCCACCACCCCCUGCCCCUGCCAAAAUUCCAUUGAAUUUCAAUUGAUGUUGCAUGAAAUGUGUUUAAGUGGGAGAAGCAAGGCCAUCUUUAUCCUGAACUUUGCAGUUUAAGAAUGAGGUAAAUAUCUGCAUCUAUUCAAGCCUUG